rnacentral:rRNA from 1 species
UACGUAGGGUGCAAGCGUUAAUCGGAAUUACUGGGCGUAAAGCGUGCGCAGGCGGUUGUGCAAGACAGAUGUGAAAGCCCCGGGCUUAACCUGGGAACGGCAUUUGUGACUGCACGGCUAGAGUGUGUCAGAGGGGGGUAGAAUUCCACGUGUAGCAGUGAAAUGCGUAGAUAUGUGGAGGAAUACCGAUGGCGAAGGCAGCCCCCUGGGAUAACACUGACGCUCAUGCACGAAAGCGUGGGGAGCAAACAGG